AGCGAACGCUGGCGGCAGGCUUAACACAUGCAAGUCGAGCGGGCCCUUCGGGGUCAGCGGCGGACGGGUGAGUAACGCGUGGGAACGUGCCUUCUGGUCUGGAAUAACCCUGGGAAACUAGGGCUAAUACCGGAUACGCCCUUUUGGGGAAAGGUUUACUGCCGGAAGAUCGGCCCGCGUCUGAUUAGCUAGUUGGUGGGGUAACGGCCUACCAAGGCGACGAUCAGUAGCUGGUCUGAGAGGAUGAUCAGCCACACUGGGACUAAGACACGGCCCAGACUCCUACGGGAGGUAGCAGUGGGGAAUAUUGGACAAUGGGCGCAAGCCUGAUCCAGCCAUGCCGCGUGAGUGAUGAAGGCCUUAGGGUUGUAAAGCUCUUUUAUCCGGGACGAUAAUGACGGUACCGGAGGAAUAAGCCCCGGCUAACUUCGUG
rnacentral:rRNA from 1 species